AGGACGAACGCUGGCGGCGUGCUUAACACAUGCAAGUCGAGCGGUAAGGCCCUUUCGGGGGUACACGAGCGGCGAACGGGUGAGUAACACGUGGGUGACCUGCCCUUAGCUCUGGGAUAAGCCUAGGAAACUGGGUCUAAUACCGGAUAUGACCUCAUGACGCAUGUUGUGGGGUGGAAAGCCUUGUGCGGCUAGGGAUGGGCCCGCGGCCUAUCAGCUUGUUGGUGGGGUGAUGGCCUACCAAGGCGACGACGGGUA
rnacentral:rRNA from 1 species